rnacentral:rRNA from 1 species
UACAUGGGGUGCAAACGUUGCUCGGAAUCAUUGGGCGUAAAGCGCGCGUAGGCGGUUACUUAAGUUGGAUGUGAAAGCCCUCGGCUUAACUGAGGAAGUGCACCCGAAACUGAGUAGCUAGAGUACGAAAGAGGGUCGCGGAAUUCCCGGUGUAGAGGUGAAAUUCGUAGAUAUCGGGAGGAACACCGGUGGCGAAGGCGGCGACCUGGGUCGAGACUGACGCUGAGGCGCGAAAGCGUGGGGAGCAAACAGG